rnacentral:rRNA from 1 species
UGGCUUUUCUGCGCGUAUAGGUGGGAGACGUUGAUAAUAUUCUUGCGGGAAUAUUGGAGUCAUCAGUGAGAUACCACUCUUGUAAUGUUAGAUUUCUAACUUUGUAUCAUUAUCUGGUCAAAGAACAGUUUCAGGCGGGCAGUUUGACUGGGGCGGUCGCCUCCUAAACGGUAACGGAGGCGCACAAAGGUUUCCUCUGAACGUGUAGAAAUCGUAUCUAGAGUGUAAAGGCAUAAGGAAGCUUGACUGUGAGACCUACAAGUCGAGCAGGGACGAAAGUCGGUCUUAGUGAUCUGACGGUGCUGAGUGGAAAGGCCGUCACUCAACGGAUAAAAGUUACUCUAGGGAUAACAGGCUGA